UACAGAGGGUGCAAGCGUUGUUCGGAAUUACUGGGCGUAAAGGGCUCGUAGGUGGCCAACUAAGUCGGACGUGAAAUCCCUCGGCUUAACCGGGGAACUGCGUCCGAUACUGGUUGGCUUGAGUUUGGGAGAGGGAUGCGGAAUUCCAGGUGUAGUGGUGAAAUGCGUAGAUAUCGGGAGGAACACCAGUGGCGAAGGCGACUACCUGGCCUGUUCUUGACGCUGAGGCGCGAAAGCUAGGGGAGCAAACGGG
rnacentral:rRNA from 1 species